GAUGAACGCUGGCGGCGUGCCUAAUACAUGCAAGUCGAGCGAACAGACGAGGAGCUUGCUCCUCUGACGUUAGCGGCGGACGGGUGAGUAACACGUGGAUAACCUACCUAUAAGACUGGGAUAACUUCGGGAAACCGGAGCUAAUACCGGAUAAUAUAUUGAACCGCAUGGUUCAAUAGUGAAAGACGGUUUUGCUGACACUUAUAGAUGGAUCCGCGCCGCAUUAGCUAGUUGGUAAGGUAACGGCUUACCAAGGCAACGAUGCGUAGCCGACCUGAGAGGGUGAUCGGCCACACUGGAACUGAGACACGGUCCAGACUCCUACGGGAGGCAGCAGUAGGGAAUCUUCCGCAAAGGGCGAAAGCCUGACGGAGCAACGCCGCGUGAGUGAUGAAGGUCUUCGGAUCGUAAAACUCUGUUAUUAGGGAAGAACAAAUGUGUAAGUAACUAUGCACGUAUUGACGGUACCUAAUCAGAAAGCCACGGCUAACUACGUG
rnacentral:rRNA from 1 species